rnacentral:rRNA from 1 species
UGCUGGAGGUAUCAGAAGUGCGAAUGCUGACAUAAGUAACGAUAAAGCGGGUGAAAAGCCCGCUCGCCGGAAGACCAAGGGUUCCUGUCCAACGUUAAUCGGGGCAGGGUGAGUCGACCCCUAAGGCGAGGCCGAAAGGCGUAGUCGAUGGGAAACAGGUUAAUAUUCCUGUACUUGGUGUUACUGCGAAGGGGGGACGGAGAAGGCUAUGUUAGCCGGGCGACGGUUGUCCCGGUUUAAGCAUGUAGGCUGGUUAUCCAGGCAAAUCCGGAUAAUCAAGGCUGAGGUGUGAUGACGAGGCACUACGGUGCUGAAGUAACAAAUGCCCUGCUUCCAGGAAAAGCCUCUAAGCAUCAGGUAACAUCAAAUCGUACCCCAAACCGACACAGGUGGUCAGGUAGAGAAUACCAAGGCGCUUGAGAGAACUCGGGUGAAGGAACUAGGCAAAAUGGUGCCGUAACUUCGGGAGAAGGCACGCUGGUGUGUAGGUGAAGUCCCUGCGGAUGGAGCUGAGACCAGUCGAAGAUACCAGCUGGCUGCAACUGUUUAUUAAAAACACAGCACUGUGCAAACACGAAAGUGGACGUAUACGGUGUGACGCCUGCCCGGUGCCGGAAGGUUAAUUGAUGGGGUUAUCCGUAAGGAGAAGCUCUUGAUCGAAGCCCCGGUAAACGGCGGCCGUAACUAUAACGGUCCUAAGGUAGCGAAAUUCCUUGUCGGGUAAGUUCCGACCUGCACGAAUGGCGUAAUGAUGGCCAGGCUGUCUCCACCCGAGACUCAGUGAAAUUGAACUCGCUGUGAAGAUGCAGUGUACCCGCGGCAAGACGGAAAGACCCCGUGAACCUUUACUAUAGCUUGACACUGAACAUUGAGCCUUGAUGUGUAGGAUAGGUGGGAGGCUUUGAAGCGUGGACGCCAGUCUGCGUGGAGCCAACCUUGAAAUACCACCCUUUAAUGUUUGAUGUUCUAACGUUGGCCCCUUACCGGGGUUGCGGACAGUGUCUGGUGGGUAGUUUGACUGGGGCGGUCUCCUCCCAAAGCGUAACGGAGGAGCACGAAGGUUAGCUAAUCCUGGUCGGACAUCAGGAGGUUAGUGCAAUGGCAUAAGCUAGCUUGACUGCGAGCGUGACGGCGCGAGCAGGUGCGAAAGCAGGUCAUAGUGAUCCGGUGGUUCUGAAUGGAAGGGCCAUCGCUCAACGGAUAAAAGGUACUCCGGGGAUAACAGGCUGAUACCGCCCAAGAGUUCAUAUCGACGGCGGUGUUUGGCACCUCGAUGUCGGCUCAUCACAUCCUGGGGCUGAAGUAGGUCCCAAGGGUAUGGCUGUUCGCCAUUUAAAGUGGUACGCGAGCUGGGUUUAGAACGUCGUGAGACAGUUCGGUCCCUAUCUGCCGUGGGCGCUGGAGAAUUGAGGGGGGCUGCUCCUAGUACGAGAGGACCGGAGUGGACGCAUCACUGGUGUUCGGGUUGUCAUGCCAAUGGCACUGCCCGGUAGCUAAAUGCGGAAGAGAUAAGUGCUGAAAGCAUCUAAGCACGAAACUUGCCCCGAGAUGAGUUCUCCCUGAGACUUUAAGUCUCCUGAAGGAACGUUGAAGACGACGACGUUGAUAGGCCGGGUGUGUAAGCGCAGCGAUGCGUUGAGCUAACCGGUACUAAUGAACCGUGAGGCUUAACCUU